rnacentral:rRNA from 1 species
AGAGUUUGAUCCUGGCUCAGGACGAACGCUGGCGGCGUGCCUAUACAUGCAAGUCGAACGCUUCUUUUUCCACCGGAGCUUGCUCCACCGGAAAAAGAGGAGUGGCGAACGGGUGAGUAACACGUGGGUAACCUGCCCAUCAGAAGGGGAUAACACUUGGAAACAGGUGCUAAUACCGUAUAACAAUCAAAACCGCAUGGUUUUGAUUUGAAAGGCGCUUUCGGGUGUCGCUGAUGGAUGGACCCGCGGUGCAUUAGCUAGUUGGUGAGGUAACGGCUCACCAAGGCCACGAUGCAUAGCCGACCUGAGAGGGUGAUCGGCCACAUUGGGACUGAGACACGGCCCAAACUCUACGGGAGGCAGCAGUAGGGAAUCUUCGGCAAUGGACGAAAGUCUGACCGAGCAACGCCGCGUGAGUGAAGAAGGUUUUCGGAUCGUAAAACUCUGUUGUUAGAGAAGAACAAGGAUGAGAGUAACUGUUCAUCCCUUGACGGUAUCUAACCAGAAAGCCACGGCUAACUACGUGCCAGCAGCCGCGGUAAUACGUAGGUGGCAAGCGUUGUCCGGAUUUAUUGGGCGUAAAGCGAGCGCAGGCGGUUCUUAAGUCUGAUGUGAAAGCCCCCGGCUCAACCGGGGAGGGUCAUUGGAAACUGGGAGACUUGAGUGCAGAAGAGGAGAGUGGAAUUCCAUGUGUAGCGGUGAAAUGCGUAGAUAUAUGGAGGAACACCAGUGGCGAAGGCGGCUCUCUGGUCUGUAACUGACGCUGAGGCUCGAAAGCGUGGGGAGCAAACAGGAUUAGAUACCCUGGUAGUCCACGCCGUAAACGAUGAGUGCUAAGUGUUGGAGGGUUUCCGCCCUUCAGUGCUGCAGCUAACGCAUUAAGCA